rnacentral:rRNA from 1 species
AGCGCAGGCGGACCGGCAAGUUGGAAGUGAAAACUAUGGGCUCAACCCAUAAAUUACUUUCAAAACUGCUGGCCUUGAGUAGUGCAGAGGUAGGUGGAAUUCCCGGUGUAGCGGUGGAAUGCGUAGAUAUCGGGAGGAACACCAGUGGCGAAGGCGACCUACUGGGCACCAACUGACGCUGAGGCUCGAAAGCAUGGGUAAGCAAACA